AAGCUUUAUAUUCAAUAAUGAUAUAAAAUUGCAAAUUUUAAGGAGUAUAAUUAAUACUAAGGC
rnacentral:tRNA from 1 species